UACGGGGGUGCAAGCGUUGUUCGGAAUUAUUGGGCGUAAAGCGCGUGUAGGCGGUUUGAUUAGUCUGAUGUGAAAGCCCCUGGGCUCAACCCUGAGAGUGCAUCGGAAACUGGGGAUCUUGAGGACAGGAGAGGAAAGUGGAAUUCCACGUGUAGCGGUGAAAUGCGUAGAUAUGUGGAGGAACACCGGUGGCGAAGGCGGCUACCUGGACCGAUAUUGACGCUGAGACGCGAAAGCUGGGUAGCAAACAGGAUUAGAAACCCCUGGUAGU
rnacentral:rRNA from 1 species